GGAUAACCGCUGAAAGCAUCUAAGCGGGAAACCCUCCCUAAGAUGAGGUCUCCCUGGACCUUCGAGGUCCCUAAAGGUUCGUCGAAGACUACGACGUUGAUAGGCUGGAUGUGGAAGCGCAGUAAUGCGCGAAGCUAACCAGUACUAAUUGACCGUGAGGCUUGACCAUAUAACACCCAAACAGUU
rnacentral:rRNA from 1 species